UAGUGUAUCAUUUUCAAAUCACAAAGCAAAUGGAGGGAAAAUAAUCGAUUCCUGCAACAAUUCAUUCCUAAGAAGUAAGAAGUACCAAACACUAGUUAUCAAUGGCGGAAUUCCUAAGCCCUAAUCCAACAACUGUUCACAAAAAGAAGCUUCCCAUCUCCACAACAAAUUUCUUCGUCGGCUCCAACGACGACCAACUCGAACGCGCCGCUGCUCGUGCUGCUCGUGUUGCCGCUAUCCGCCGUACUUCCUGUGCCGUUAACUUCAAACCUCAACCCGCCGAUUCGGAUCCUGUUCUCAACAAGCAGCAGAUUCUCGAGUUAUUCCGAAAUUGCAUUAAGCUUGCUUCAGAAAAUAAAAUUAAUCAGAAAAAUACAUGGGAUUUGGAUUUGAUUGAUCAUCUUACUGAUAUUAUUAGGGCUGACGAUGAUAGUAAUGACGCGGAAACUAAUUUUCAAAUGGCAAGCUGCACCCUUGAAGCUGGAGUCAAAAUUUAUUCAUUAAGGGUGGAUUCGGUGUAUUCCGAGGCAUAUAAAGUUCUUGCUAGAAUGAAUAGGGCAGGCUAUGAAACGGAGCAAGACACUACUCUAGAGAGUGCUAAUGCUGAAGGUGGGCAAGAAGAUAGCAAGAAGGGAAUCGUAAAAAAAUUGUCACCUUUGUCAACAUUGGAAUCAUCUUUUGAGGUUCUUAAUGUAAAGAAGUUUGAUGUUGCAUUUGCUGUGGAUCCCCUCUAUCGCCAAACAUCAGCAAAAUUUGAUGAAGGGGGAGCUAAAGGUCUUUUGAUGAAUAACCUCGGUGUAUAUGGUAGAUGUAGGGUGCUCUUUGAUUCACUAGAUGUGCCAGGGACGUAUGUAGCUAGUCAAAAUGAACAUGAUAUUUCAGAUGUAAUUGAUCUUUCUUUUGCACAAGAUUGUGUUGAACAGAUGGUAAUGGACAUGGAUAUUAAGGAUGCAAUUUCUCCAACUCUCAGGGUGAUAGUAAAUCAAUUUGAUGAAAAUAAUAGAAGGCCCUCCGAUUUUCAAUUUCAUGGCCAAAAUUCAGCAGAAGAGUUUGAUGCAGCUAUUGAUUGUGAAGGUGGGGCUGAAUCAGAAGAAGACCACGAGAACUUCCCAAGUUGGCCUUAUGAACAUGACAACCAAACAUUUGUUGCUGAACUGGGCUCUAAUGAUGUAGACCCAAAUUUUUCAAGUUAUCCUCAGGAGAAAGAACCUUUUCCUUCCCAAGACCCUGAAAUGGAUGAAAUAUUUGGAAAUGUUGAUGAGUGUCUAUUUGCUAGUCUGGGUUUUAGGUCAAAGAAAAAUGCGUGGGCAGGUCCAGAUCAUUGGCAGUACCGAAAAACUAAAGGUUCAGAGUCAGAAGUUCAUUGUUCUUCUGAAGAUGGGUCAACCCUCAAAACUAGGCGGUCAAGGACUAUGAGACAGAUCGAAGUUGAUUUAAAUUUCACAAAUUUUCUUGGAAAAACACUUCCAGAUAUCUUUGCUCCUCCCAAGAAUCAUAAAUCGUUAUUACUCCCUAAAAAUAGACCCGUUUGUGUUACAAAACUCCCAGAGGACUGCCACUAUGAGCCAGAGGAUCUUGUCAAGUUAUUUCUUUUGCCUAAUGUUAAGUGUAUUGGGAGGAGGACGAGAAAGUUCUCAGGUAAUAUGUGCUAUUGUGAUCGCAACAUUUCAUUCUUUAUAUCCUCCAAUUCAAUGUCUAUCAAUAUAAAUAACAUUUUAGUGUGUUUUCAUGUAUUACUAUAUUGCACUUAUACCACAGAUGCAGAUGGAUCGACUGAGCAAUGCAAUAACAAUGAACCAUUCAAUUCAUGGGAUAAUGGAAGUGUUUGUGAUGGUGAGUAUGAUGGUGCACAUAGUGAUAUGGAUGACUCAAGCACACUUAUUUCUCCGCCUCGUCAGAUCAACAAAAUUGAAGUUCAAUAUGACAAAACGUCCAAACAAGUUGAUGUUCAGGCACUGAAAUUUACUCUUUGGAACUGUAUUCAAGAAAUUCAAGAAUCCGUUCAACUUCCUUUACAGGGUGAGAAAGAAAUGGCGUCUUUCAGGCAUAUAUUGGCCAACUUUCCUAGUGAAUGCAAUGCUGCUGCAACUGUUACUGACAUAUCUCCACAUUUGUGUUUCAUAUGCCUCUUGCAUUUGGCUAAUGAGAAAGAGUUGAGCAUCCAAAGCUGCCCAAACUUGGAUGAUCUUCACAUAUAUAUGCCUAACUGAUGUUGUUACCUCUAAAAGUGGAGCAGUUUAGACACUCACAGCUUCAUUUCAGUAAGUAGGAAAUAUUUUGAGUUAUUUGGAUACAAAGUUGAUAUCGUAUGGCGGAUACCGUAUAAAACAAGGCUUAAUUUUAAAUGUAAGAUCAGAUCGUAUGGCUUAAUUUUAUUUGAACCACCGACCACGUCGAUUUUGAUCAGGUAAGAUCAGACUGUAAUAAACUAAGGCUUAAUUUUAAAUGUGUAACUCUGGCUUAACUUUUUUCUUUUAUAUAAAAAAGAUGAGGCUUAAAUUAAAUGUGUAAUAAUCCACAUCCACAUAUAUAUAUAUAGGCACGGCA